rnacentral:rRNA from 1 species
CUACGGGUCGCUGCAGUGAGGAAUAUUGCACAAUGGGGGGAACCCUGAUGCAGCAACGCCGCGUGGAGGAUGACGCAUUUCGGUGUGUAAACUCCUUUUAUAUGUCAGGAAAAUGACGGUAGCAUAUGAAUAAGCACCGGCUAACUCCGUGCCAGCAGCCGCGGUAAUACGGAGGGUGCAAGCGUUACUCGGAAUCACUGGGCGUAAAGGACGCGUAGGCGGGUUGGAAAGUCAGGUGUGAAAUCCUGCAGCUUAACUGUAGAACUGCACUUGAAACUUCUAAUCUAGAGUAUGGGAGGGGGAGAUGGAAUUAGUGGUGUAGGGGUAAAAUCCGUAGAUAUCACUAGGAAUACCUAAAGCGAAGGCGAUCUCCUGGAACAUUACUGACGCUAAGGCGUGAAAGCGUGGGGAGCAAACAGGAUUAGAUACCCCCGUAGUC